rnacentral:rRNA from 1 species
CGGGACGGGUGAGUAAUGUCUGGGAAACUGCCUGAUGGAGGGGGGUAACUACUGGAAACGGUAGCUAAUACCGCAUAACGUCGCAAGACCAAAGAGGGGGACCUUCGGGCCUCUUGCCAUCGGAUGUGCCCAGAUGGGAUUGCUAGUAGGUGGGGUAACGGCUCACCUAGGCGACGAUCCCUAGCUGGUCUGAGAGGAUGACCAGCCACACUGGAACUGAGACACGGUCCAG